UUUAUUGGAGAGUUUGAUCCUGGCUCAGGAUGAACGCUGGCGGCGUGCCUAAUACAUGCAAGUCGAGCGAAUGGAUUGAGAGCUUGCUCUCAAGAAGUUAGCGGCGGACGGGUGAGUAACACGUGGGUAACCUGCCCAUAAGACUGGGAUAACUCCGGGAAACCGGGGCUAAUACCGGAUAACAUUUUGAACUGCAUGGUUCGAAAUUGAAAGGCGGCUUCGGCUGUCACUUAUGGAUGGACCCGCGUCGCAUUAGCUAGUUGGUGAG
rnacentral:rRNA from 2 species